GACGAACGCUGGCGGCGUGCCUAAUACAUGCAAGUUGAGCGCUGAAGGUUGGUACUUGUACCAACUGGAUGAGCAGCGAACGGGUGAGUAACGCGUGGGGAAUCUGCCUUUGAGCGGGGGACAACAUUUGGAAACGAAUGCUAAUACCGCAUAAAAACUUUAAACACAAGUUUUAAGUUUGAAAGAUGCAAUUGCAUCACUCAAAGAUGAUCCCGCGUUGUAUUAGCUAGUUGGUGAGGUAAAGGCUCACCAAGGCGAUGAUACAUAGCCGACCUGAGAGGGUGAUCGGCCACAUUGGGAUUGAGACACGGCACAAACUCCUACGGGAGGCAGCAGUAGGGAAUCUUCGGAAAUGGACGAAAGUCAGACCGAGCAACGCCGCGUGAGUGAAGAAGGUUUUCGGAUCGUAAAACUCUGUUGGUAGAGAAGAACGUUGGUGAGAGUGGAAAGCUCAUCAAGUGACGGUAACUACCCAGAAAGGGACGGCUAACUACGUG
rnacentral:rRNA from 1 species